UUCACUCAGAUUGAACGCUUGGCGGCAGGCUUAACACAUGCAAGUCGAACGAUGAUAUCUAGCUUGCUAGAUAUGAUUAGUGGCGGACGGGUGAGUAACAUUUAGGAAUCUGCCUAGUAGUGGGGGAUAGCUCGGGGAAACUCGAAUUAAUACCGCAUACGACCUACGGGUGAAAGGGGGCGCAAGCUCUUGCUAUUAGAUGAGCCUAAAUCAGAUUAGCUAGUUGGUGGGGUAAAGGCCCACCAAGGCGACGAUCUGUAACUGGUCUGAGAGGAUGAUCAGUCACACCGGAACUGAGACACGGUCCGGACUCCUACGGGAGGCAGCAGUGGGGAAUAUUGGACAAUGGGGGCAACCCUGAUCCAGCCAUGCCGCGUGUGUGAAGAAGGCCUUUUGGUUGUAAAGCACUUUAAGCAGGGAGGAGAGGCUAAUGGUUAAUACCCAUUAGAUUAGACGUUACCUGCAGAAUAAGCACCGGCUAACUCUGUGCCAGCAGCCGCGGUAAUACAGAGGGUGCGAGCGUUAAUCGGAAUUACUGGGCGUAAAGCGAGUGUAGGUGGCUCAUUAAGUCACAUGUGAAAUCCCCGGGCUUAACCUGGGAACUGCAUGUGAUACUGGUGGUGCUAGAAUAUGUGAGAGGGAAGUAGAAUUCCAGGUGUAGCGGUGAAAUGCGUAGAGAUCUGGAGGAAUACCGAUGGCGAAGGCAGCUUCCUGGCAUAAUAUUGACACUGAGAUUCGAAAGCGUGGGUAGCAAACAGGAUUAGAUACCCUGGUAGUCCACGCCGUAAACGAUGUCUACUAGCCGUUGGGGUCCUUGAGACUUUAGUGGCGCAGUUAACGCGAUAAGUAGACCGCCUGGAGACCCCGACUGU
rnacentral:rRNA from 1 species